AGGCAUCCUCGUCCUGCUCGCCCUUCAGUCCCCGAGUUCUCAAUCUCCCCUCCUCCUUCCUGUGUUCUCUCCAAAAUACACACCAAAUUCCCAUGAAACUGAGCUCGUUUUUGUUGCCUUCUCUGCUCCGCGCAACAUUUUUCCUCCAUAGAUCCAUGAGAGGGCGUCCAAAGGGUAGGACGACCGUGCUGCAAGCUCGUGCACCCACUGCGUUACCAUGGUGUGCGACGGCGGAGACCGGUGCCGGCUGGGGCAGCGAUGCAGGAAACGGCACACCUCGUUGCUGGAACCGGCCGACUGAAAAGCUGCAACCGGCAUCCGAUGAUGCUGGAACCAGUAAUCAUUUUUGCUACCACAGGCGUUUGGUUUUGCUGGAACCACCGCCAAAUUUGCAAGUUUGCUACUACUGACUUUCUGGUUUGUUGGAACAAGCUUGAAUUUUUGCUACAUCGGCAUUUUUGACUUUUGCUGGGGGACAACUUUCAUUUUUUUUGUUUUGCAAUUUUUGCUACCACCGUUUCCUUUUUGCUAGAUCCGAUGCAAUUUUUUGC